CCAGGUACCCGUAGGUCCCCACAAGUCCCCUCAGGUCCCCUCAGCCUGUUCUUGUUCCCCCAGGUCCCCUCAGCUCGUUCCUGUCCCCUCAGGUCCCCUCAGCUCGUUCUUGUCCCCUCAGUUCGGUCCCCUCAGGUCCCCCAGGUCCCCUCAGCUUGUUCUUGUCCCCUCAGUUCAGUCCCCUCAGGUCCCCCAGGUCCCCUCAGAUCGUUCCUGUCCCCUCAGGUCCCCUCAGCUCGUUCUUGUCCCCUCAGCUCAGUCCCCUCAGGUCCCCUCGGGUCCCCUCAGCUCGUUCUUGUCCCCUCAGGUCCCUCCAAGUCCCCACAGGUCCCCUCGGUCCCCCCCGGUCCCCUCAGCCCGCCCUCGUCCCCUCAGCUCGUUCCCCUCAGCGCGCCCGGGCCCGAAGCGCCGGAUCCGCCAUCGCCCCCCCGGUCCCCUCGUUCCCCCCCGGUCCCCUCGGUCCCCUCAGAUCCCCUCAGCCCCUCCAGGUCCCCACAGGUCCCCACAAGUCCCCUCAGGUCGCCUCAAGUCCCCUCAGCUCGUUCUUGUCCCCUCAGGUCCCCUCAGUUCUUGUUCUUGUCCCCUCAGCGCACCCGGGCCCGAAGCGCCGAAUCCGCCAUCGCGGCGCCGCCAAUUCCUGGGAUGCCGGGAGCUGUAGUCCGGAAUUUAACCCCCUCCCCGCCAAAAAACGAGACACCCCCAGACUGAAACACCCCCCCAGGGACAGAGACAACCCCCCUUGGGGCUGAGAAACCUCUUUGGAACCGGGAUCCCCCAAAAUCCCCCCCGGACCCCAAAUUUUCACCCAAAUGGACACAGAGGUGCCCUCGACGUCCGAGUCGCGGAUUCCAAGCCAGGAUGAACCUUCCAGCAUCUUCCGGACGUGAUCCUGGGGACAAAACCAGCGUCACCCACCCUUGGGGACAACGGGGGGUGGUGGCAGGUUCUAGGACUGACAGGCGCGGGAGCAAACGUCGUCCUUGGUGCCGUGCACGACCCAGCGGCUCCACUCGCGGUCCCCGGUGUAGAGCAUCACCACCGACUGCCGGUUGUUGCCGUAAUUAAAGAAGAGCUCGUUACCGGCCAGCGCCAGCAGCCCCCCGGCGCGGCACUCCCAGCGCUGCAACGGCGCCGCCGGUUCCCGGCACGGCUCCAGCCGCACCAGCGCCAGGUUUUGGCUCCGUGUGGCGGUGACGCAGCGUUGGGUCCCCCAGGAUUGUAACCGGCCCCCCGGGAGCCACCGGAACAGCUGGGACGGCGCUUGGGGACGACACGGUGACGCCGUCAGGAGCUGCCCCGAGGCUUCGACGCACACGGACUGGGCUUCGUUGUACAGCUGGAAGGAGCUGGAGGCUGUGGGGACAUUCCCGCCCCCACAUUGUCACCCCCCCGGUGACAAAGACCCCGCCGUGCUCACCGCGCCGGAGGCCACCGACGAGGACGGUGACAUUGAGCAGCACCGACACCCCCAGUGCCACCAGUGUCACCAGCAGCAGCCGCGAGCUGGAGCAGCGGACUGGAAACGAGGGGGGUGAGUGACAAAAGUGACACAAAAGUGACACAAAAGUGACACAAAAGUGACA